CGGUUGUAAUAAUGACCGCAGCCUUUCCUCGAGGCACAGCUAGAGAGAAAGACCCACCAGUUGCAUGGAAAAAACUAAAAGUUUUACUGACAAGUACAGGCGACUUUCACAUUUAAAGCAGCAAAAACAGUGCUUGCAGACAAAGCUCUCUCUCGCGCGCGCACAAAUACACAACUUACUAAAUAAGGACGCGUUGUUUACUUUCCUCCGUCAGCGUACGACGUUCCGAGAUUUCUGGAAAGGGGGGAGAUGCCCGGAUGGAAUUCGGACGUAGUUCGAGAAGUGAAGAAAAAGUGAAAAGACCCUCCUCUACCACGACUGAACCUGCCCUGACAGUUCUUUUCAGCUCCAAACCCACAGAAGAAGCCGGAGGACUGACGGAUACUUUCAUUAUUUUACGUCCUGCAAUGCUGCCGAUUACACCUGGUCUUACCAUCUUUCUACUGCUGCUGGCUGUACAUAGCGUCUGGUCCUCUUCUCCACAGGAACCUAAAGCACCAGGCGCACCUCAGUCAGAAAUCUCCAGCCUCCAUCACCCCACCUGGACCCUCGGGCUGGAACUCUACCGGUCACUCCGCGCAGACGGUUCCCAGACAAAUACUCUUAUCUCUCCUCUUCUUUUAGCCAACUCUCUGCUGGCCCUAGGUGGUGGUGCUAAAGGUUCCACGGCAGGCCGAUUUCACAAUCUCCUGAAGAUCACCAAAGAUGAGAAUGCAGUCAGAGAGGCUCUGACUGAUGCUUUAAAGUCUGUGAGUAAAGCUAAUGCAACCAGCUUCACCCUGCACAGUUCUUCUGCACUGUUUACCAAACAAGCCCCUAAACUAGAGAAGAUCUUUCUGGACAACCUUCAGUCCCAGUUUGGAGUGCAGCAUGUGGCACUGGAGGAUGGAAAGAAACACGAUGUCAUGGAGACACUACAAUCCUGGGCUAAAGUUGGAAUGGGUGGAGAGGAGACAGCAGCUCUUAACCAGGGACUGGAGACCAAAGCUGGAGCCAUGAUGUUGGCCAAUGCACUGCACUUUAAAGGAUUUUGGGAUAGAGGCUUUGACCUAGAUAACCAAGACCUGCGCAACUUCUUGGGUACCAAAUACACCAAGGUUCCCUUGAUGCACAGAUCAGGCAUUUACAGACACUUUGAAGACAUGGAGAACAUGGUGCAAGUGUUGGAGCUGGAUCUGUCCGAAGGGCAUGCCAGCAUAGUGCUGCUUUUGCCCUUCCACGUGGAGAGUUUAGCCCGACUGGACCGCCUUCUGACACUGGAACAGGUGGAAAAGUGGCUGGAAAAACUUAAUUCCACAAGCAUGGCGCUGUCCCUCCCUAAAACCAAGCUUAGUAGCAUGGUCAAUCUAGAGAAACAGCUAGGCUCUCUCGGUCUGGAAGGUGUGUGGAACGAGACAUCGGCUGAUUUCUCCGCAGUGUCAAGCCUGGGAAAGGGGAAGCUCCAUUUGGCAGCUGUGCUGCAGUGGACGUCACUUGAACUGGAUCAGGAGUCCGGCAGCAAGGAUGGCGUGUAUGAGGACGAGCAUGUGGAAAAGCCAAAACUCUUCUAUGCGGAUCAUUCCUUCAUCAUAUUACAGAGACACUGACUGACAGCAACACUCAGAGUGAUAGACGUGCACUGCGAUGGGAUCGUCAGGCUCUGGAGCCAGCAUGUUGGGUGUCAGCUACACUCAUACCGACACACUGACACAACUCAUUCUCUCCUGUUACUGUACUGGAAAACAACCACUGUGACAAGUGCCAAGUAGACAAAUGCUGAUGUUGAGAUACUGGCAUCAUUCAGCCUUGGCUAUGAGUGACACAGGAAGGUCCCCUCUCCCGCUUUCUCUCUCUAGCUGACUCAUCCGCUCAGACAAACUUACCGAAGCAGAUCAGGGACUCCAGACAAGCAGAGGCUAAGCUGGCAGCGCCGCUCCCGCCCCGGGAUCACUCUCUCGGGGAGCAAGAUCACUCACACGGGCUGUUAUUGAUGGGGCAUGCUUAAUGCUAAUGCUGCUAAUGACUCGAGACUGCUGUCAACAACGCAGACAGAUGAUAAACCUUUUAAUCUUUUAAUGCUUGUCCCAAUCAAUGGAGGCCAUGGCCACAUUGCUCCGCCAUGCCAGUUAAAUAUUGUAACAUUUUUCCAUAAAUCAAGAAAAUUACAUGUUGAUUGUGAACCACAGGACUUUGUGUUGACUUAUUAUUGCUGAUGGAAAAGCUGUGCAUGACUGGUUAACAUGACAGCACGUUCUGUUUUGUAAAGUAUUGUUUAAUAGAAAAACUUUGAAUUGUGUCAUGAAUUUAAUGUUGUACUGAGUGCACCCAAAAAUGAAUAAAUAAAUGAAACAAAAAAGAAAGUUAUAUCUUA